rnacentral:lncRNA from 1 species
GGAACCUGAGCAGCACUGACUUCUGAGGAAGACUGAGAUGGAGACACCCGCCAGUGUCCUGUCGCUCCCGCAGUCUGAACUUCCCAACAGUCCAUCUCCUUUGGUUUACAAAGUCUUUGUAAAGGGAGAUGACCCAGACAGUGAAGUACUACUUGGCAUAACAACACGAGGAUCUGAGUUCAAACUGAAGCACCGUGAGAAUGAAGAAAAAAGCUCUGUCUUGUGGCCUGCAACCUCAGGGACAGGGAAGCAGACGGAAGGAGCCCAGCCAGUCUAGCAAAACAACAAGCUCAAGGUUCAAGCCUACAAACAGAAGUGAAGCAGUGGUGGGGCAGCAUCAAUAAAGGUAGCAGAGGAAAGAAAGAAAAAGGAACCAUCGGCUACUAAAAGUGUCACAUUAAAUGUCACAGGGACUGUGUU